rnacentral:tRNA from 1 species
GGGUCAGUAGCUCAGCUGGUUAGAGCACCUGCCUCUUAAGCAGGGUGUCGUGAGUUCAAGUCUCACCUGACCCACCA